GAUGGAGAUUAUGGGGGCAUCCAAGCCCCCUACACCCAACCCCCAGAAACUGGGAGCAGAUCCACUGUUCUGUGUAACAGAAAAUUUGGGGGUUCCUGUGGCAGUUCACAAGAUUGGGAAGCAAAAAGGGAGGGAAGGAGCAGGAAAGCAGCAUGAUGGGUAGAGGCUGGCCGGUAGAGUCAUCUCAGGGGGAGGGAAGGUGACAGGAGGGCACUCCAAGAAUAGGCUCUGAAGCACUGAUAUGAAAAAGGCCCCAGCUCCUCACUCCUCAAAUACUGCGUAAGCUCCCUCUGCUGACGGGAGGUUCACUCCUGGACCAUGGGCACCGGACAUGCUGCCCUGGGUCAUGCAUGUCAACGCCAACCUGUGAACACUCAGGCCCUCUCUGCUUCCUUAGCGUUGGGGUGGGAAGGGAGAGUAGCAAAAGUCACGUGCUGGUAGCUGCCCAGUGAAGAAAGACGUGCUGCUGAGGCUUGGAUUUACUCUGCAGAGCCCCAGUUGGUGGCACGGUUCCUCUUCUGAGCAGAGAAAUGGGGGAAAGGGUGGCAGAGAGAUAAACAUCGCGAAUUAUCUCAUUAAUCUGCCUGGCCAUGCCAUUUUGCAGUAAGACAAACUGACCCCUGGAGUGGUGGGACAACUUUCCCAUAGUGACCCAGACAACCAGUGGUACAGCCAGGGUGAGGAGCCACCCCCACCUUCCAAACCAUCUAGGGAAACCAGGACACAGACUGGGAAGGCCUUGCCCAAGGUCACACAGCAAUUGGGCAGUAGAGCCAGGAUGCAAGGCCUCCAGACCGAGGCCUCCUGUGGCUGCCAGCCUGGGAAAGCUGCCCAGCCCUUUCACCUGCUGCUGGUCGCCUGCUGGAGGAAAGCAUGAGGCUGCUAGGGACGGGCAGCAUGAGUGAAGAAUCCCUCAGGCCCAGACAUUAGGUGUUGAACGGGUCUCCCUCGCACCCUGUUCUGAAAGCCCACCCCAGCGAGACAACAGCUCUGGGGACACAAGUGCCCAAGGCAGGAAACCAGGAACCGUGCUGGACUUAGUGCACGUGUGACCUCACUUAACCCUCAGGCCGCAGGGAGAUAUAGGCUCCUUCCUGUUCCUAUUUUUCCAGAGAGGACCCCGAGGCGACUGAGGCCCCAGGACUCGCACCCCCUGGUGGGGGAGGCACCUGGACGAGCGCCCACUGCUGCGUUGGGGAGGUGGCCUGGAGCCCGGUUGCUUUCCCCGCCUGGACUGGAGCUGCUCCCGCCGGAUCCCGAGCAGCCAGAGAGGAAGGCCGAAACAAUGGCAGCCGCAGUGGCCGGUCCUGGGUUCCGCAGCCAGGGUGGGGCCGGCUCGCGGCCAGAGAGCCAGUGGGAAAGAGGUCCCUGCGCAGGAGACUAACAAGAUUAACGACUAACAUCGGUUGAGCAGUUACUGUGUGCCAGGACCUGCAGUAAACGCCUUAGAUGGAUUAUAUCAUGGAUCCUCACCUUACCCUUGAUGAUUAGCCCCAUUUUACAGAUGAAGAGACUGAGUGAGGCACAGAGAGUUUAAGUAAAAUGUCCAAGGUCAAAACCAGUGUCUUCCGAGGAGUUGAAAGAUAGCCCUCAACCUCAAAAGGAGUGCAAGGAGGUUCUUAGCUCCCGGACACCAUCCGUCAUUCUUAGCCAGAAGUCUGACUUCAAGAAGAGUCCCAGCUGUUUGCCCAGCUGCACCUGGCUGAGAUGGAGAAGGUGUUUGAGGAGGACACUCACUCUCCUGCAGGAGGAGGACUCUGUCUCACCUCUCACGCCGCCAUUUUUUUAGCUGGUGGUCCAGAUGUUUCUUGAUUCUGUCCAGCCUCACCAGUGGAACCGUUCAAGUAAACAAAGGCUCCUCGGGGCUUUGAUCCUGUACCAAUGGAAAAAGACCUCAUCAGCGCGCGGCUUCUACCAGAAAGUGCUUCUCUGUGAGCCCUAAGCUGUGGAGGGCCAGGCCAACAGAACACUGGGUGCUUCAACAGGACUUCCCAGGCUGAGUUCCUUGGGAGGCAGGAGGCCCAGGAAGAUAUUUUUACCUGGCUUUCCUGUGGUUUGGGAAAAGUUCUGCCAGAAACGGCUAGUCUCGGAGCUCUGCUGCUUACCUGCAGAUCUUGGUCGUGGGUGACUGCCAGCGAAGUCAGAUCUUUCUCGUGCUUCUGAUCCUGUUCUUUCCCAGAGGGGAAGGGACUCCACCCUGAUAGGCAGGAAACUAGAUGUGAGUGGGAUGGAAAGAGAAUAAGGCCAGAAAAAAGCCCAUUAAAGGAGACCCAGAGUUAAUCAGUUGAAGCUCAGAAAAGCCAUGGAGCAGUUUGGCCUGGAAUGUGUGAAUAUUCCCCAGAGAGAGGAGGGUACCUCAGCAGAGCCCAUGGCUUUAUUGUGUUAAUCAUACAGGCCCAGCUUAUUUUUUUAACUUUACCUAUAUACUGUUUUUCCCUAAUCAAGUAGUUUGCAAUCUGUCCAAUUAAUAAUGACAAGCAAGCCCAGCAUAAACAACACAGUAACAGGCAGGAAGGAUUCCAUCUUAAAAAUAAGAUUGGGUUUUAACAGCCAGGACAUUAAGAAGAUUCUUAACUUACACUUUAGCAAACAGACAAUAACUCAGCCCACCUUGGGGGCCGGGCAGGCAGUCUUGAUACACUCCCAGGCCAAGAAAUGCCGGGCUCCCAGGGAGAAAUCAGAGCAGGAAGUUCCCUGUGCUACAUUAGUUCUAAGUAUUGAAAGACCACCUAACAGGUCUGCACCCCCAGCCCAUAGUCACAUUCCUGAAGGAUCCUUAAAAGGGGGAACCCCCAACCUUUCAGGGCACUCCUCUCCUUGAAGUCGCCCGCACUUUCUAAGUGCAUGACUUUUUCACUGUAAACUCUCUCUUUUGAACCUUGCAGGGUGCUGCGCUCUCUCUGAGGUCACCUGCUCUUUUUCUCUAAGUAACGUUAAAUAAAUCUUUUCCUCUGUUUCA